UACGUAGGGUGCAAGCGUUAUUCGGAAUUACUGGGCGUAAAGCGUGCGCAGGCGGUGAUGUAAGACAGAUGUGAAAUCCCCGGGCUCAACCUGGGAACUGCAUUUGUGACUGCAUCGCUGGAGUGCGGCAGAGGGGGAUGGAAUUCCGCGUGUAGCAGUGAAAUGCGUAGAUAUGCGGAGGAACACCGAUGGCGAAGGCAGGUCUCUGGGCUGACACUGACGCUCAUGCACGAAAGCGUGGGGAGCAAACAGG
rnacentral:rRNA from 1 species